CGGCUUGGGUCAGCUUUCAGAACC
rnacentral:siRNA from 1 species